AACGAACGCUGGCGGCAGGCCUAACACAUGCAAGUCGAGCGCGCCCUUCGGGGUGAGCGGCGGACGGGUGAGUAACGCGUGGGAACGUGCCCUUUUCUACGGAAUAGCCUCGGGAAACUGAGAGUAAUACCGUAUACGCCCUUUGGGGGAAAGAUUUAUCGGAAAAGGAUCGGCCCGCGUUGGAUUAGGUAGUUGGUGGGGUAAUGCCUACCAAGCCGACGAUCCAUAGCUGGUUUGAGAGGAUGAUCAGCCACACUGGGACUGAGACACGGCCCAGACUCCUACGGGAGGCAGCAGUGGGGAAUCUUAGACAAUGGGGGCAACCCUGAUCUAGCCAUGCCGCGUGAGUGAUGAAGGCCUUAGGGUUGUAAAGCUCUUUCAGCUGGGAAGAUAAUGACGGUACCAGCAGAAGAAGCCCCGGCUAACUCCGUG
rnacentral:rRNA from 1 species